rnacentral:lncRNA from 1 species
UUUUGACCACUGUGCCAAGUUCAGCUCCUUUGCUUAUGCCAGCAAUUGAGUCACUUUAUAGUGCUUUAGUGGCUGCAAAUUUACAUACCAAAAUCAAGAUUUCAACCCCAAAUUCUGCUUCCAUUAUUCUUGAUCCUUUUCCACCUUCUCAGGCUUUUUUCAAUCAGUCCAUGAGCUCAGUUCUUUCUCAGUUAUUGCAGUUUUGUUCAAGAACACAGUCACCUUUGAUGAUGAAUUUGUACCCUUACUAUGUUUUUAUGCAUAACAAGUCAAUACUACUAGAACACAGUCACCUUUGAUGAUGAAUUUGUACCCUUACUAUGUUUUUAUGCAGAAUAAAGGGGUUGUUCCAAUAGACAACUCUCUUUUUAAGCCCUUGACACCUUCUAAAGAGAUGGUGGAUCCUAAUACUUUGCUUCAUUACACCAAUGUG